AUUGAACGCUGGCGGCAGGCCUAACACAUGCAAGUCGAACGGUAACAGGAAACAGCUUGCUGUUUCGCUGACGAGUGGCGGACGGGUGAGUAAUGUCUGGGUAACUGCCUGAUGGAGGGGGAUAACUACUGGGAACGGUAGCUAAUACCGCAUAACGUCGCAAGACCAAAGAGGGGGACCUUCGGGCCUCUUGCCAUCGGAUGUGCCCAGAUGGGAUUAGCUAGUAGGUGGGGUAACGGCUCACCUAGGCGACGAUCCCUAGCUGGUCUGAGAGGAUGACCAGCCACACUGGAACUGAGACACGGUCCAGACUCCUACGGGAGGCAGCAGUGGGGAAUAUUGCACAAUGGGCGCAAGCCUGAUGCAGCCAUGCCGCGUGUAUGAAGAAGGCCUUCGGGUUGUAAAGUACUUUCAGCGGGGAGGAAGGGAGUAAAGUCAAUACCUUUGCUCAUUGACGUUACCCGCAGAAGAAGCACCGGCUAACUCCGUGCCAGCAGCCGCAGUAA
rnacentral:rRNA from 1 species